ACGGCCAUACCACAUUGAAAACACGGGUUCUCGUCCGAUCACCGAAGUUAAGCAAUGUCGGUCAGUACUUGGGAGGGUGACACCUGGGAGUGCUGUAGGUU